rnacentral:lncRNA from 1 species
AGGAGAAUGGGGAGGUGGAAGAGAAGGCGACAUCGAUGGUAAUGAAGGCAGAAGUGACGAUGACAACAUUGAUGGAGGAGGAGGAGAAGAAGGAAGAUGAGAAAGCAGACGAGGAGAAGGAAGGGGAGGAGGAAGAGAAGGCAAUAACGACUUGUUGAAGGUGACACCAAUGACAACGGAGGUAGAGGUGAAGACAACAACACCGAUGGAGAAGGAGUCAUAGGAGGAAGAGGAAAAUGAGGAAAAUGAAGAGAAAGAGAAAGAUAUGAAGGAGAAGGAUGAGGAGGAUGGAGGAGAAGAAGAGGAAGAAAAAGAAAAAGAAAAAAAAUGGAAAAGAAAGAACUAGAAGAGGAGGAGGAAGAAGAAGAAAAAGAUCAAAUUGUAAUAUUUAUAGAUGGAUAAUUAAUGAUGAAUUUUUGUUGUAAAAAAUUACAAAUAGAUUUUGACCAUUAGUAAUUACCGAUAGAUUUUCUUACUUGUUAGUAAAUUUUACUAACAAAUUAGUUGUAGAUAAGAAAUCGACAAUUUUGAUUUAUCA